GAUGAACGCUAGCUACAGGCUUAACACAUGCAAGUCGAGGGGCAGCGGGUUGAAAGCUUGCUUUCAAUGCCGGCGACCGGCGCGCGGGUGCGUAACGCGUAUCAAACCUGCCUCAUACUCGGGGAUAGCCUUGCGAAAGUAAGAUUAAUACCCGAUGUUAUUAGUUCAUCGCAUGGUGGACUAAUCAAAGAUUUAUCGGUAUGAGAUGGUGAUGCGUCCGAUUAGGUAGUAGGCGGGGUAACGGCCCACCUAGCCUUCGAUCGGUAGGGGUUCUGAGAGGAAGGUCCCCCACACUGGAACUGAGACACGGUCCAGACUCCUACGGGAGGCAGCAGUGAGGAAUAUUGGUCAAUGGACGCAAGUCUGAACCAGCCAAGUAGCGUGCAGGAUGACGGCCCUCCGGGUUGUAAACUGCUUUUAGUUGGGAAUAAAAAAAGGGACGUGUCCCUUAUUGUAUGUACCUUCAGAAAAAGGACCGGCUAAUUCCGUGCCAGCAGCCGCGGUAAUACGGAAGGUCCAGGCGUUAUCCGGAUUUAUUGGGUUUAAAGGGAGCGUAGGCGGAUUGUUAAGUCAGCGGUUAAAGGGUGUGGCUCAACCAUACAUUGCCGUUGAAACUGGCGAUCUUGAGUGCAGACAGGGAUGCCGGAAUUCGUGGUGUAGCGGUGAAAUGCUUAGAUAUCACGAAGAACUCCGAUCGCGAAGGCAGGUGUCCGGGCUGCAACUGACGCUGAGGCUCGAAAGUGUGGGUAUCAAACAGG
rnacentral:rRNA from 1 species